ensembl:lncRNA
CUCAAAGAUUUUUAUCUGAAAAAAGACCAGUGGUAAUAGAUAGAGCUCCUCAACGGCAAAAGAAACUGGAAGUGGGAAGUGCUCGGUUACAUAUGCUGCCUCUCUUUAAAUGUUUUCACCUAGCAGGAAAUGAGAAAGUAGCUUAAUAUUUGUAUUCAUGAGUGCUCUGAUAUAUUUGUCUGAAUCUGCUUUAUCUUAACUGUCAGCAAACUGCUAAGCAAGGUCAUGAUUGUAUUCACCAGUAAUUCGGAAGUGAGCAAUCAGAAUUGACUUCUUACAUGUAAUUAUGCCCAGGAUAUAUAUUUAAGUUAUCUGUAAUGUUCCUUCUAUAGCUGCAAUUCCACCUCACAUGCUGUAUCUCUUCCUGCAGACCCUUUGGUAACUGACAGAGGGAGACUGGUUGGAACAAUGAUCAAGAAAAGAAUAAGCAGCUAAACUAAACUGGAACUUUAAAAAUAAUUUGCACUUUCCUCACGUCCUUUGUUUGCCCUUUGGCCAGCAGUGGUUCUUCCAGCAGAGACAGGCAAGACACAAGAAUUGGAAGCUGGUCAGUAAGGCUCAAACUGGAAAUAACACUGGAUUAACAGAAAGAAAAAAUAUACAUUGGAAGAAAUAACAAGAUAAAAAUAAAAAUAAAAAUCCAAGGCAAGUGUCACAACUGAUUGAUUCUAAAAUACCCUUAACCCAGCAGUCCAAGCAAAAGAUGUUUAGGGGUAAAACAAAUAUCACAAAAAUUCUGCAAAAUUCUCUGACCUCUAUUUUUUAGGUCAGGAGAGUAAACUGUAGUUUGUUAAACAAAAAAGUGUAUUAUCUGAGAUGUAAAAGGAGGUUGGUGAUAAAGAGGGAGGAAGAAAACAGGAAAAAAACCAUAAGGGAAACUACAAACUAUUGGGGAACUAGCAAAAUACAAGCAGGUAAGCCAUAGGUUUAUUUAUCUCAAGAAAAAAAAUCAGCAGGCAAAUUAUCAUUACUAGAUGGCAGAUAGUGUUAUACAAAGGAACAACAACAUUCACUUCUCUUCUAGACAGUCAAUAGGACACAUCAUCCCAAGCUAUGUAUGUCACUGUCAUAUGUAAAUACCGUGUAAGUUGAAGUACAGAAUUAAAGCUCAACUCUAGCCUUUAUUAUUGACACUACAGAAAACAAACAUGAACUCUCACACAGGGUGAUCGUUAAUUAGCAGCUACUAUGAGGCAAUAUGUGGACAAAACACUCAAAAAGAGCACUCAGAGAAACCAUAGCCAUCAAGAAACCAGCAACCACUCUGAACCAGUAGGCUCUUUCAGGCUAACUUUGUUUUAAAUGUUCACCAGCUGCAAAAGGUUUUUUAGUUAAAAUGUCAAGCUAUUUUAAACAUUUCCUGUUUCUGAUCAAAUGCUUUGGUCAGGUUGGUUCAGGCCUGGU